rnacentral:snRNA from 1 species
AUACCUUUCUCGGCCUUUUGGCUCAGAUCAUGUGUAGUAUCUGUUCUUAUAAGCUUAAUCGCUUAUAUGGUUCUCAUUGAGAACCUGCGAUUAACUUUAAUAUUUUAGGGGGUCAAGGCACACGGGGAGGGCACCAUGCCGAGGGGUCUGAAUAUGUUCCCCUCACUCAUG